rnacentral:rRNA from 1 species
CGGACGGGUGAGUAACGCGUGAGAACCUGCCUUCAGGAUGGGGACAACAGCCGGAAACAGCUGCUAACACCCAAUGUGCCGCAAGGUGAAAAAUUUAUUGCCUGAAGAGGGGCUCGCGUCUGAUUAGCUAGUUGGAGAGGUAAAAGCUCACCAAGGCGACGAUCAGUAGCUGGUCUGAGAGGAUGAGCAGCCACACUGGGACUGAGACACGGCCCAGACUCCUACGGGAGGCAGCAGUGGGGAAUUUUCCGCAAUGGGCGCAAGCCUGACGGAGCAAUACCGCGUGAGGGAAGAAGGUCUAAUAGAUUGUCAACCUCUUUUCUCAGGGAAGAAAAAAAUGACGGUACCUGAGGAAUAAGCAUCGGCUAACUCCGUGCCAGCAGCCGCGGUAAUACGGAGGAUGCAAGCGUUAUCCGGAAUUAUUGGGCGUAAAGCGUCCGCAGGUGGUCAAACAAGUCUGCCGUCAAAAACUAGAGCUUAACUCUGGAGAGGCGGUGGAAACUGUAAGACUAGAGACCGGUAGGGGUAGAGGGAAUUCCCAGUGUAGCGGUGAAAUGCGUAGAGAUUGGGAAGAACACCAGUGGCGAAGGCGCUCUACUGGGCCGGAACUGACACUCAGGGACGAAAGCUAGGGGAGCAAAAGGGAUUAGAUACCCCUGUCCUG